rnacentral:lncRNA from 1 species
CGGGCGGCCUGGCUGUGUUCUGUGCUGGCUCUCUGCACACACUCUGCUGCUGCUAGCAGUGGGGUCCCACAGACAUGCAACUGGGGUGACCCUCCCAUAUCCACAGAACAGUGGCAAACUGAAAGAUGGAUGCUGGGGUAUGGGGGACCCCUGAAACCAACACAUUCUCCUUACCUGCUGGAAAUACGCACCCCUCACUUCUGCCUCCCCAAGCCAGGACUGACUUGUCAGCUUCCCCUGCUCCAGCUGCAGUGCUUGCUACUUUAGAUUUCAGGGUCCCAGCCCCAGAGAUGCUGAAGUAGCAGCGCAAAAAUCUGCAUCUUAGCACGAGGCCAGUUUGGGAGCUACACGGGUCCUCACCCAUCAUCUGGCCCCCUCCUCCCACCCAUUUUACUACAAGGAGACUUGGAUAAGGGAGGGUCCUACCCCAGCUCACACAGUGCGUUUGUGCCAGAGCUGGGAGCAGAACUCCGUCUCCUAAGUCAUUCAUUGUUCUUCCCUCAGACUUUAUACAAACAGCUCUGGGCCAGGCUGGGCCUCCUUGCUGGUCUGGUGGAGACCAAAGAGGCAGGCCAGUCCUUGUGGGGGCCCCAGAUCCUUCACAGUGGGGAGGGGAGCUUUGGGGUCCCCUGGCAGGUGCUGUGAGGAGUCAGGCAUGGGCCCAGCAACAGUCAUUGGGUUUCCCAUUCCUGGACCAUCUCAGACCAGGAGGGAGACCCCUUCUUCCAGUCUUGGUUUCUAGAAACCCCUGGAGGGUCAUCUGUCCUUUUUGAUGUCCUGAGUGUGAACCCAGGCAGGCCUGUGGGACCCAGCCCCAGGACUCAGUGCCAGGCCUGAGAGGGAGGUGCAGGAACUGGGCUUCCAGGGCUCCCACCCCACGAGUGAGGCUGGGGUCCUUGGGUCUUAACACGCAGAGGGUGGUCAGCAUGCGUGAAUGAAGGACUGGGCAGAUGAGCUACAGGGGAAGGGGCAGUGGGUGGCCGCGGUCUCGCUCAGAGCCCUCUGCAGCAGGCCCCGCCAGGAGCAGUGCUGCACUCACCAGCAGAUGGCGCCACUAGAAAGCCAGCCAACCCUGAAAAAUGUACUGACCCUGAGGGAACUUGCACUCUGCCACCUCUUUCUCCAAGAGCGGCCCGGGACUGAGAAUGAGGGGAUGGGGCGAGUGGGUGGGGCCCUGCGCCUGUGCCUGGCUUCCAGAGUGACCCUAUUGUUGAUGAGGACCAGAGCCUAGGAGACAUCAGAGCCGGCCAGGAAUGACACAGGCGGUGUCGGGGUCACCGAUUCCAGGUGUCGGGGUCACCGAUUCCAGGGGUCGGGUGAGGGCUUCUGUCUGCUGAAAGCCCUCCUCCUGUGGGGAAAGCACGGCAGACUUCAGGCAAUGGUGGUUGGACAUUUGCCCUGCCCCUUAUUAUAUGGUCAUGUCCACCCCCCUCACUUCAGUGGGCCUCCGUUUCCUCACGGGGUUGUUAAAAUGCAUUAAUCAUUAAAAUUAUUGUUUGCCUGGCA